rnacentral:lncRNA from 1 species
ACAAAAUGUUGACCAAACCUGCCUCUUCACUCUCCCCUUGCUGUUUGUCGUCCACAGCCUCUCCUUCAGCUGCACUGGCUUUCCCUGUGCUAAUCCCUUCUUCAUGGGGCUGACAGUGUUAACUUCCUGCACUGUUAAUCACUUCAAGUAGUAACUUAUGAAGACCUUCCUCUACCAAAUGCUUGGAAGAUUUGACAUCCCAAGCACAGAUGGAGUUGGAGAUGAUAGAACAAGAUAUCUGGGAGAAGGGCAGAGCAGGAAGGAGAAAACUGGUUUUCCACAAGGAAACUCUUUCGAUGUACAAAUUCUCAGAGACCUUGGAUGA